rnacentral:rRNA from 1 species
UACGGGGGGGGCAAGCGUUGUUCGGAAUUACUGGGCGUAAAGGGCUCGUAGGCGGCCAACUAAAGCGGAUGUGAAAUCCCCAGGCUUAACCUGGGAACUGCAUCCGAUACUGGAUGGCUUGAAUCCGGGAGAGGGAUGCAGAAUUCCAGGUGUAGCGGUGAAAUGCGUAGAUAUCUGGAGGAAUACCGGUGGCGAAGGCGGCAUCCUGGACCGGCAUUGACGCUGAGUGAGCGAAAGCCAGGGGAGCAAACGGG